UUGUUGCUGUUGUUGCUGUUGUUUUCAAAGACCACCCCAGCCACUGUUUACAGGAUCAAAAGCAUUAUAAAAUAUGUGUAAUUAUUUCCUGAGCACGCCCUUCCUCCUCCUCUCUCUGUCUCUCUGUCUCUGUCUCUCUCUUUCUCUGUCUUCUCUCUCUGUCUCUCUCUCUCUGCCUAUUUCUCUCUCUCUCUCUCUGCCUGUCUCUCUCACUGUGUCUGUCUUCUGUCUUACUCCCUUUCUCUGCCUGCCUGUCUGUCUCUCUCUCUCUCUUUCUCUGUCUGUCUUCUCUCUCUCUUUGCCUGUCUGUUUCUCUGUCUCUGUCUCUCUGUCUCUCUCUCUCUCCCUGUCUCUCUCUCUGUGUCUGUCUUCUGUCUUACUUUCUCUGCCUGUCUGUCUGUCUGUCUCU
rnacentral:lncRNA from 1 species